GAUGAAGAACGCAGCGAAAUGCGAUAAGUAAUGUGAAUUGCAGAAUUCAGUGAAUCAUCGAAUCUUUGAACGCACCUUGCACCCUUUGGCAUUCCGAAGGGUAUGCUCGUUUGAGUGUCAUUGUACUCUCACACUCUCCGAUCCUAUGGAUUCGGGGAGCGGUGGACUUGGGUGUUGCUGCCUUUCCUUGUGGCUCACCUCAAAUGUGUCAGUGCACCUCUUGGUUGGACAUAGUACGGCGUGAUAAGUGUCUUCGCCGGCACCUCGCAAGAGGGUUGCCGAUCGGGAGCUCUGUGCUUUCAAACCGUCUUCGGACAAUUUCUGACAACUUGACCUCAAAUCGAGUAGGACUACCCGCUGAACUUAAGCAUAUCAAUAAGCGGAGGA
rnacentral:misc_RNA from 1 species